rnacentral:miRNA from 1 species
CCGCCUGUACACAAAGGGCUGGGCUGGGCUGGGCAGGCGGGAGAGCGAUGCUCGGGAUUCU